rnacentral:rRNA from 1 species
CGCGUAGGCGGUUAGUUAAGAUAGAUGUGAAAUCCCUGGGCUUAACCUAGGAACUGCAUCUGUUACUGACUAGCUGGAGUAUUGUAGAGGGUAGUGGAAUUUCCGGUGUAGCGGUGAAAUGCGUAGAGAUCGGAAGGAACACCAGUGGCGAAGGCGGCUACCUGGACAAAUACUGACGCUGAGGCGCGAGAGCGUGGGAGCAAACA